rnacentral:rRNA from 1 species
UGGACUUGACAUGCAAGUGGUAGGAGCCUGAAAGGGUGACGACCGUAGCAAUACGGAGCUUGCACAGGUGCUGCAUGGCUGUCGUCAGCUCGUGCCGUGAGGUGUUGGGUUAAGUCCCGCAACGAGCGCAACCCUUGUGGUUAGUUGCCCUUAUUUAGUUAGGCACUCUAACCAGACUGCCUGUGAUAAGCAGGAGGAAGGUGGGGAUGACGUCAAGUCAGUAUGGUCCUUAUGUCCAGGGCUGCACACGUGCUACAAUGGCCAGCACAGAAGGAAGCAAUACCGCGAGGUGGAGCUAAUCCCCAAAACUGGCCUCAGUUCGGAUUGGAGUCUGCAACUCGACUCCAUGAAGCUGGAAUCGCUAGUAACGGCGCAUCAGCUACGGCGCCGUGAAUAC